UACGGGGGGAGCAAGCGUUGUUCGGAUUUACUGGGCGUAAAGGGCGCGUAGGCGGCCAGCACAAGUCAGUUGUGAAAUCUCCGAGUUUAACUCGGAAAGGUCAACUGAUACUGUGCGGCUAGAGUGCGGAAGGGGGCAACUGGAAUUCUUGGUGUAGCGGUGAAAUGCGUAGAUAUCAAGAGGAACACCUGCGGCGAAGGCGGGUUGCUGGGCCGACACUGACGCUGAGGCGCGAAAGCCAGGGGAGCGAACGGG
rnacentral:rRNA from 1 species